rnacentral:rRNA from 1 species
GGCGAACGCUGGAGGCGUGCUUAACACAUGCAAGUCGAACGAUGAAAUGGAGCUUGCUCCAUGGAUUAGUGGCGAACGGGUGAGUAACACGUGAAUAACCUGCCCUUAAUUUUGGAAUAACCCAGGGAAACCUGGGCUAAUACCGGAUAAGUAAACCUGUGGCAUCACAUGGUUUUGGAAAGUUUUUCGAUUAAGGAUGGAUUCGCGGCCUAUCAGCUUGUUGGUGGGGUAAUGGCUCACCAAGGCGACGACGGGUAGCCGGCCUGAGAGGGCGAACGGCCAGACUGGGACUAAGACACGGCCCAGACUCCUACGGGAGGCAGCAGUGGGGAAGAUUGCGCAAUGGACGAAAGUCUGACGCAGCGACGCCUCGUGAGGGACGAAGGUCUUCGGAUUGUAAACCUCUUUCAGCAGGGACGAAGCAAAAGUGACGGUACCUGCAGAAGAAGCGCCGGCUAACUAUGUGCCAGCAGCCGCGGUAA